ensembl:lncRNA
GGUUAUGUUCGAUUGCUAAAUUAAUCUUUUGAACUGGUUAACAAAUGUUAUCUGAAUGAUUUGUUCAUAAAUCUGACUCAAGAACCAUUUCAUAAACAUAAGGUUCAAGACUUUUAGUUCUAUUCAAUGUAUAGGCUAAAUAUUUUUAUAUUCUUUGUAAGAACCAAUAGCAAAACUCACUGGCUGUAACUCUUGCUGUAAUCCUAACCAUUUGUAUUUAAUUAACAGAAUAAUAAAAUAACAAUGCAACAAAUUCUGACAUUUUAUUCUGAUGUACUAACACUUUCAGUGGACAAACUGGUCCAAUCCUUAGCUUGUCAUUUAUUAUACAAAAGUAGAAACACUCAAUUUCUAAUGUUUCUUAUGUUUAUUUCCCCUAGUCUGUCCAGAAACAAAACCUUAAAAUAUUCAAGUCAUUCUCCCCAUCAUGGAAGGCUCAUUUGUUGUGCCCAUGAUCGUGUUUUUCGCAAUGGCUGUUUCUAUGUUCAUCAUCUUCUACUGCCUGGCCAAAAGACAUGCACAGUAUGUGCAGUCAAAUACUACAGUCACGACUACACAUCACCCACAAUACUCAUAUCAACAGCCUUUGGCUAAUCACCAACAGCCAGCGUAUGGGGCACAUCCCAUUCUGACUGGACCAUAUCAGCAAACUUAUGUCCCGGGACCACCACCCACAUAUCAGGAGGCGGCAGGUCUGUUUCCUGCUCCCUUCAGCCAGGCUGCAUAUGACGGUGGUCAGAUCAUGUACCCUCCACAAGCACCGGUUCAACCAGCGCUUCCCACAAACUACACUUCGACUCAUGUGGAAUCGCCAAAGACCAGUUAG